rnacentral:lncRNA from 1 species
CAACGCGUUGUGGUUGCCUCACGAUGGCCACCAGGCGAAGUGGUGUUGAGUAUCGGUGUUUGGUCAUUUGGAACUGGCCACAAUGUAUUGUGGCUGUUUUUAGUCAUUGUGCGAUUUCGGUGUUUGGGCAUAACAUAUACUUUUAUGUAUACAAUACUUAUACGGUAACUCAAUUACCGUAUAAAUAUGCAUUUAUAGUUAUAAAAUUUAAUUUUAUCGGAUCAUCUAUUAAUUAUAUCACGCUAUUUCGAACCCUCUCCCUCUCCUUUAUCAUUUUUAGUCCCAUCAGACUUGAUCUCCUGCAGUAAUGUCACAAAUUUGAAGAUUUCUCCACUCUUCUGAAAAUUUUUUUCCUCCGAUUUUAUGUAAAAUUAAAAAAAAUGCAUAAAACAGUUGAAAAUAAGACUUAUUUUGCACUAAUAAUUUGUUACAUAUUCAGUAGUGUACUG